rnacentral:rRNA from 1 species
CACCCUACGGGACGCAGCAGUGGGGAAUAUUGGACAAUGGGCGCAAGCCUGACCCAGCAACGCCGCGUGAAGGAAGAAGGCUUUCGGGUUGUAAACUUCUUUUAUCAGGGACGAAGCAAGUGACGGUACCUGAUGAAUAAGCCACGGCUAACUACGUGCCAGCAGCCGCGGUAAUACGUAGGUGGCGAGCGUUAUCCGGAUUUACUGGGUGUAAAGGGCGUGUAGGCGGGAAUGCAAGUCAGAUGUGAAAACUAUGGGCUCAACCCAUAGCCUGCCUUUGAAACUGUAUUUCUUGCGUGCUGGGG